rnacentral:rRNA from 1 species
ACGAGUGGCGGACGGGUGAGUAAUGUCUGGGAAACUGCCCGGUGGAGGGGGAUAACGUACUGGAAACGGUAGCUAAUACCGCAUAACGUCGCAAGACCAAAGAGGGGACCUUCGGGGCCUCUUGCCACCGGAUGUGCCCAGAUGGGAUUAGCUUGUUGGUGGGGUAACGGCUCACCAAGGCGACGAUCCCUAGCUGGUCUGAGAGGAUGACCAGCCACACUGGAACUGAGACACGGUCCAGACUCCUACGGGAGGCAGCAG